AACGAACGCUGGCGGCAUGCCUAACACAUGCAAGUCGAACGAAACCUUCGGGUCUACUGGCGCACGGGUGCGUAACGCGGGGGGACCUGCCCUUAGGUUCGGAAUAACUCCCCGAAAGGGGUGCUAAUACCGGAUAAUAUCUUCGGUCCGACGAUUUAUCGCCUUUGGAUGGGCCUGCGUUGGAUUACUUAGUUGGUAGGGUAAAAGCCUACCAAUGCGACGAUAGCUAGCUGGUAAGCGAGGAAGAGCCGCCACACUGGUGCUGAGAAGCGGCCCAGACUCCUACGCGAGGCAGGAGUGGGGAAUAUUGGACAACGGGGGAAAGCAUGAAGCAGCAAUGCCGGGAGAGUGAUGAAGGCCUUAGGGUUGUAAAGCUCUUUUAUCCGUGAUGAUAAUGACAGUACCGAGAGAAUAAGCUCCGGCUAACUCCGUG
rnacentral:rRNA from 1 species